rnacentral:tRNA from 1 species
AUUUAUAUAGUAUAAUUACUAUUACAUUUAACUUCCAAUUAAAUCAUUUAAAAAUUACUUUAAUAUAAAUA